rnacentral:lncRNA from 1 species
GGGGGAGCCAGCAGAGGGUUUGCAGGUAGAGGCAGUGGGAGGGGCGGUUGCCUAGCAACCCCACAGCUGUCUGUUGACCUAGAAGAAGCUGCGCCGUCUUGACACAGCUGGUGUUUACAUGUAACCGAGGCUCUGGCUUAGCGCUUGCUUGGAGGAAAGCUGAGGUAGGGCCCUCGUGGCAGCCUGUCCCCAGAGGACCACGGGCCCUGACAUGUCCCACCUGCACCCACACAAGUACCCAUAGCACAAACACGUGCCUGCCUAGGGUGUGGUGUGGGCAGAGCUGAGACUCCUCCCUACCCACAAGCCCCCCUCAUCCAGCAGUUCCUCCUCCCCGCAGGGCCCAAGGGGCCGGCUGGGGCCCCACAGUCCCAUCAGCCCAAGCAGUGAGCAGAAGGAGGAGAGCAGAUAUUUUUAGCUUCUCUGCCACUGACAUUUCGCAGCAGGCGACCUGGGGUGAAGCUGAGUGAGUGCUGAAGGCUGGGAGAAGCCGACAGCGCCUUCCCACCCCC